rnacentral:tRNA from 1 species
GCCGAAAUAGCUCAAUUGGUAGAGCACCUGACUUGUAAUCAGGGGGUUGCGGGUUCAAUUCCUGUUUUCGGCACCA